GAUGAACGCUGGCGGCGUGCUUAACACAUGCAAGUCGAACGGUGAACGAGGGAGCUUGCUCCCUCCGGAUCAGUGGCGAACGGGUGAGUAACACGUGAGCAAUCUGCCCUGGACUCUGGGAUAAGCGUUGGAAACGACGUCUAAUACCGGAUACGAGGCGUGGGGGCAUCCCCAACGCCUGGAAAGAACUUCGGUCCAGGAUGGGCUCGCGGCCUAUCAGGUAGUUGGUGAGGUAACGGCACACCAAGCCAACGACGGGGAGCCGGCCUGGGAGGGUGACAGGCCACACUGGGACUGAGGCACGGACCAGGCUGCUACGGGAGGCAGCAGUGGGGAGUAUUGCACAAUGGGCGCAAGCCUGAUGCAGCAACGCCGCGUGAGGGACGACGGCCUUCGGGUUGUAAACCUCUUUUAGCAGGGAAGAAGCGAAAGUGACGGUACCUGCAGAAAAAGCACCGGCUAACUACGUGCCAGCCGCCGCAGUAACAC
rnacentral:rRNA from 1 species